rnacentral:RNase_P_RNA from 1 species
UUAGAAGCGUAGACUAUCGCUGGGGCUUGCAAAAGCUCGAGAGGAAAGUCCGGACUCCAAAGAGCAACACAGGGGGUAACGCCCCUCCGCCUUGAAUGUACUGAUCGCUACGGCGUGAAAGUGCUGAUAGGUGAGGAACAGUGGAACAGAGAGAAUGUCCGGGGCAAGGAUCUGAUUGGCGGGAACGGGAGCCUUUCAGGGAGUCGCCGGAGUGAAAACAGCCAAACUCUGUGUGGAGCAAGAUCAAAUAGGGAAGCGCCAAGUGCGGCUCGCACGUGCUUCCGGGUAGAUUGCUUGAGAGUGUGAGUAAUUGCACUCCUAGAGGAAUGAUAGUUCACGACAGAAUCCGGCUUAUCGCGCUUCUAACUUG